AAAUUAUUUCAAUUUUCUUUCACAAUACUAUUACACUAUAAUUAAAAUUAUUUUUUCAUUAAUCAUUACUAAAACAAAUCUAUUUAUAAUUAUUUUUAAUAAUUUAAAUUUAAAAAAAUAUAAAUUAAUAAAUAAAAUAUAAUCAAUUUAUAUUGAUUUGCACAAAAAUCUUUUCAAUGUAAAUGAAAUGCUUUACUUAAUAAGCUUUAAAUUGCAUUCUAGGUACACUUUCCAGUACAUCUACUAUGUUACGACUUAUCUUACCUUAAUAGUAAGAGUGACGGGCGAUGUGUGCAUAUUUUAGAGCUAAAAUCAAAUUAUUAAUCUAUAUAAUUUUACUAUCAAAUCCACCUUCAAUAAAUAUUUCAAAUUUAUAUUCGUAUAAAUAAUUUUAUUGUAACCCAUUUCUACUUAAAUAUAAGCUACACCUUGAUCUGAUAUAUUUUCUUUUUAAAAAUUAUGAAAAUUAACAUUCUUAUAAAAUAUUCUAAUAACGACGGUAUAUAAACUGAUUACAAAUUUAAGUAAGGUCCAUCGUGGAUUAUCGAUUACAGAACAGGUUCCUCUGAAUAGACUAAAAUACCGCCAAAUUUUUUAAGUUUCAAGAACAUAACUA
rnacentral:rRNA from 1 species